AACGGGGAAUGGAGGAACAGGGAAUGGGGGGAACGGAGGACGGGGAAUGGAGGAACGAGUAACGGGGGGGGGGAGGAAUCGAGCAAUUAUGAAUUAUUAUUAAUACGUAAUAUUAAUCAUAUGUACGGGGGGAAAAGAACAGAAAAAAAGAAACAGAAAUUCGACAGGAUAAACGGGAAUCGGGGAAUUACGAAACUAUAAAACGGACUCUGGUGUCUUGGGAAUUAGAAAACCGCUCAAUGAAUUAAAACUAGUAAAGAAAUUUAGCGAAGCUUUCCUUUAUUAGUACAGCGUAUCAUAAAAAGGUC